AUUUCUGUGGAAGGGCCAAACAGCAUUUCAUUAGUUUCUCUACUUUUCAGAGUUAUGUGACUUUUGUUUUUUUUUUUCCCUGCCCAAAGCUUAGAAGUUUAUUGCAGUCAUUUGUUUUAUUAAUAUAAUUACUUUGACAUUGGUGACAACAUAAUAGUCUAACAUGAAAUAUUGGUGGUUUAGAGGCUGCUGGUUCUUUUGGAUAAACUGACUUUCCAUUUUCAGUUUGCAGCACUACUACUAAAUGAUAUUAAAGACAUAAUGACCACUUUAAGUUCUUCCUUUACUUGUAUUACUUCAUGGUUGCUGUCCUGUAAAAGAACAUAGGACUGACCUUCCUCAAAGCCACUUACUAAAGUGAGAAAUAAGAGGAAACAUUUAUUUUGACUUUGUAGAAUGUAAGGUCACUGAGGAUAGAAGGCCUGUCUUUGUGUGUUAGAUUUGCAGAGCUGGGCCUCACACAGGCUGGCUGUGUAACAGAGAUGACUCAACAACAAUAUGUUUAGCAGAAAGAUAAACAUAUUAAAUGCUGCACAAACAGCUGAGCCCCAGUGGCUCCAGCCCACAAUGGCACACCUUGUCCUUGACCACUUCGAACUACACUUUAUUCUGAGACAUCCAUGUAAUGCCCUUCACCAGGGCCUGCUUUAUGGCCCCAUGGAGUUUGCUCAUCAGCUUCCUUCAGCUUGACAUCACAUUGCCUAAACUGGAGAAUGAAUCCUUUCCACGGAGAGCUGGAGUUGAGCUAAUCUCCUUGGCACCAGCUAGAUGUGAUACAAAACCAGAAAGCAUGGAGAGCCUCAAGUUCAGUGGUGUGAAAAGUCAAAGGCAUGGCUGGGUUUCUUCCACAAAGCAGGUCAAACACCCAGGAUGCCAGGUCAUUUGACAUUUUCAAGGGGUUGCAGGCCUCAGACUUCUCUGUGUCCUACUAAUAUCUGUCCUUCGGAAAAAUCAAAUCCUUGUCUCAAAGCUGAGUUGAGGUGGAUGUAAUCUUACUUUAUUUCUCACGAGCAAGCACUAUCUAAAUUGGUAGGGGACAGGAUAUAGAGUGAGACAGCCAGGGUUAGGGACUUGGCUUCCUUGCUUGUUUGGCUUUUAAAUUGCCUUUGGUUUCUUAGUUUGGAAGAUGGGAAUGCUUUUACUCACCAUUGUCUACUCAACAGAGGUAGAAUUUGGCUUAUAAGAAAAAUAUUUUUCUUUCUUGGAGAAACUCCCAAAUACCAAGUUAUUACUUAGCAACUAACGACAAGUUCCUUUUGCCUUUAUAAAGCAAAUGAGAUACAGAAAAGUUCUACGAAACAGUUUCCUUUUAUCAUCAACUGGAAAUGAGUGCCUAUGGUGAACGUUUCUGGAAGUAGAAAGCCAUUAUUUAAACCUCUUCCCAGAAGCAUUCGCUCUGUUUGCACCCCUCUAUGGUUGCACCAGCCCCCUUCCCUUCACACCCUGUCUCAUUCGGAGCUGAGGGUCAUUUCCAUCAGCAGUAUGUAUUGUCUGCAGCGCUAGAUGCUGGAUAUAUUGUGGUGACUCAAACAUGUCGGUAAACACUGGUGAGCUUAACAGAAUAAACUGAACCCAAGGUGCCCCUGUCUCUUCUCUAAUCAGUAAGAUGAGCACAGAACAGUGUAGUGGCUGGGCGUCACCGAGGCUUCGACGAGAACGGUUAAGACGAAGUGGUGGUUGUGGCUCUUUCUGUAUCUUCAUUCACUUACUCAACACACACGUGUUAAAAACCCAGUUUUUGCCAGGGACUACGCCAUUGCUGGGUUCAUCUGUGAGCAAAACAAAUACAGAGCUCCUGGACUCGGAGCUGAAAGUUGAGAGGGGGUGAUGGGGAUGUACACAAGGAAGUUCAAAAUGCGAAGUGUUGUGAAGAAAGCAAAUAGGGGUCUGAGAUAAGGAGUGAGGUCAACGAAGGUCUCCCUGAGGAGUAAAGUUGAGGCAUCAGGAAUAAAAAAGGAGCCAGCCAUGGGAAGAACAAGGAAAGAGCAUUCAUUCUAGGCGGAUGGAACAGCAUGUGCAAGACAGAGCUUAGUGAGUUCUAGCAACCAGAAGGCAGCCAUUGUGGUAGGAGCUUAAGGAAGGAAGGAGGACAGGGGUAGAAGAUGCAGUUGGCAGAGGGCAAACCACCUUGUACGUGUGUUAGUCAAAGUUUAGCGGGAAGGCAACAAGAGGAUGUAGUUUACAUUUUAGAACACGCUUUCUGACUUGGCCAUAGGGAAUCAGUUGUGAGGGGGAGGACUGCAGGGAGCAUUUAGAUCUUUAGGAAGGAGCUGCAGUAUUCCAGGCAGGAGAUGAGGGUGGUGGUAGUAAAGACAGACAUGGAUGGAUUCAAAAUAGAUUUUGGUAGAAUCCACCAGGCUUGAGGAUGGACUGAAUGUAGCAAAUGAGAGAAAGGAAGGAAUCAAGACGAUCUCCCAGAUUAUCUGGCCAUGUACAGGGAUGAGGAAGACUGAGGGAGCAACAUGUUUCGGGAGAAAAAUCCAGAGUUCCUCUUUGGAUGUGUGACGAAUGGAGACACCUGUGAGAUACAAAGGGGGAGGUGUCGAGUAGAAAUCAGUGGACGAAUGACAUGGUCAGCAACCCGGGCUGGAGGUGACGUGUUUAUCACUGAUCAGUCUGUUAGCUGUCUUCAAAUUCACAGCAGCAGAUGAGCCUAUGUAAGGGGACUCUGCCGCGGACACAGAAGAGUUUCUACAAGCCAGCCCACGAGUCAGAGAGAGCACAUGGCAGGGUUCCGGUUCAGCAGCAGCCAGAGAGCAGGAAGGAAGCCAGGUCAGGGGGUGUUGCAGAAUCAAGAACAGGCAGUGCCCGAGAAGGAGCUGUGCCCACAGAGCGGAACGCCCUGAGCGCUCAGAUCAGAGGGUUCCACGCAGCGUGCUGGCUGUGGCGCACUACGGAGGCCCUUGCAGCCCAUGAGAAGAGCCGUUUCGGGGUCAGCGGUGCCGUGAGACCACAGCCAGGCGGGAGCAGAUGGAAGGUGGGGGUGGGGGAGGAGGGCGGGCUUUAGACACAGUCUGAGUAGACUCUUCCCAAGUUCGGAAGCGAAUGGAGCAGAGAAAUGGCGGAGUAGCGGAAGGCGUGCUUAGGGCCAAAGGAGAGUUUUAUUUUAAAGAUGGGAGACAUAAAAUUAAGCCUGUAUGCCAUCAGGAGUGAUUCAAAAAGAGGGAGCUGGUGAUGAUCCCGGCUGGGGCUGGAGAGAGAGGGAGCCUUGAUCGAGUGGGGGGGGGGGGGGCAGAGGACACUGCAUCCAGAUGGCAGAACUCUGAAAGGUGUGGCGAACUCAUCGUGGGAAGACAUGGGAGCCCCCAUGGGAGGACUUCGAUUCUUAACAAGCUAUCAAUCAAGUGAAGAAGAGGUGGAUGUGAGAAGGACAAGGUUGAAAUAAUCAUCAUUCUAUGACGCACAGGCCACAGGAUGCUCUCUCUUAUUCCCUGUAUCCUUAGCCCACAGCUGGCCGUCUAGAAAUGCUUCAAGUCAAUUUUGUUCCUGCGAGUAUUCCAUUUCCUCAUUUGUAAAGUGAGGACGAUAUUGAUCCUGUGGAAUUCUUCAAAGCUAGACAUGCGAUAAUGUGUGUACAUCAAUUUGUGAAUCUAAAACUGUAACACAAACUGGGGGAGUAAGAGGUAAGCAGGACGUGGCCCUGGUUGUUUCUUCUCAAAUAGGCUCAGUUUCUAACAUUGUAGUUACAAAAAAGAAGAGAAGUUGACAUUCUUCUUUCAGUAAUGUAGGUCAUCUUUGUUUUCAAAUAUGUGUUUUUAUGCUAAAGGACUUAAUAAAACUGUUUAUCUUGAGUGCAAAAAA